rnacentral:rRNA from 1 species
AGUGAACGCUGGCGGUAGGCCUAACACAUGCAAGUCGAACGGCAGCACAGUAGGAGCUUGCUCUUACGGGUGGCGAGUGGCGGACGGGUGAGGAAUACAUCGGAAUCUACUUUUUCGUGGGGGAUAACGUAGGGAAACUUACGCUAAUACCGCAUACGACCUACGGGUGAAAGCAGGGGAUCUUCGGACCUUGCGCGAUUGAAUGAGCCGAUGUCGGAUUAGCUAGUUGGCGGGGUAAAGGCCCACCAAGGCGACGAUCCGUAGCUGGUCCGAGAGGAUGAUCAGCCACACUGGAACUGAGACACGGUCCAGACUCCUACGGGAGGCAGCAGUGGGGAAUAUUGGACAAUGGGCGCAAGCCUGAUCCAGCCAUACCGCGUGGGUGAAGAAGGCCUUCGGGUUGUAAAGCCCUUUUGUUGGGAAAGAAAAGCAGCAGGUUAAUACCCCGCUGUUCUGACGGUACCCAAAGAAUAAGCACCGGCUAACUUCGUG